rnacentral:misc_RNA from 1 species
AGACGACUCUCUACAGCCAUGAAGCACACAUUCUCGCUCCUCGUCGCUGUGGUCAUUGUUGGGCUGUGUUAUUCACAGGAUCCAACUCCAGAUCCUGCAAAGGGGAAAUGUCCUCGAGAAUUUUCGAUGCUUGAGUAUAUGUUAAAACCUAAGCCAUGCAGAGCAGAGAAACCGUACUGUCCGGAGGGGCUGAUGUGCUGUCCUUGUCCAAAGAGCGGCAAAAAAUUCUGCAUCAGGCCACGAAUGGACGGUAAGGAACUUUCGCCCCCGUUCCCGACAAAUCGACCAUGAAAGGGUUUCUGGGGCUCGACUUCUCCCCUGAAGUAUUCGUAAAGUCUGACCCUCCCUAUAAGAAACUGGAGGAGGAAAAGGAUCGUAUAUAAUGUCAAAACCUGACAUUGAUUUGACUGUUCUCGGUUCUGAUUUUAAAUUGUAUGUUUAUACUUAAUGAAAGUAAUUAAAGAAGGUCUUAAUUACAACUGGACCAUCGAACCUUG